rnacentral:rRNA from 1 species
UACGAAGGGGGCUAGCGUUGUUCGGAUUUACUGGGCGUAAAGCGCACGUAGGCGGAUUGUUAAGUCGGGGGUGAAAUCCUGGAGCUCAACUUCAGAAUUGCCUUCGAUACUGGCUUUCUAGAGGCUGGAAGAGGUUAGUGGAAUUCCCAGUGUAGAGGUGAAAUUCGUAGAUAUUGGGAAGAACACCAGUGGCGGAGGCGGCUAACUGGUCCAGAUCUGACGCUGAGGUGCGAAAGCGUGGGGAGCAAACAGG